UGAGUCUGGCUUUUCAGACCACUCUUUCCUUGAGUAGCAUGUGCUGAUUCUGAGAAAGGUUGGUAAGAAGCACAACAGAGCUUUCGAUGGACACUUAAGGCUAGAGAAGCAAAAACAAGUAUUUAAAGCCCACCAAGGUUAUGGGGUGGUUAGGUACUGGUAAACCCUUCAUGCUUAGGUUGGAACCCCAAAGUGCUACCCACAUGCUAGAAAUAAAUGCCAGCUUUGAACUAUCUCAGUCACAGAUUAUAGUUGAUCUAUGACUAAUACUUUCUGCUUAAUGAGGGAAAGAAACGUUACUUGUCCCUCAAGGUUGCUAGCCUCAAACACAAUUGUGAGAAAUGGCCCAGGCUAAAUAUUCAUCAGGACUUUGUAUUCUUGGCACAUCUCUUAAGAAUGUGCAUGGAUACUUGGGACCUUGGUGAAGGAUUACCUCUUCCACUAGUAAUAAAUGCCUCCAAAACUUAUUGUCAUAAAACAAUCACCUUUUUUUAUGCAUAUGACUCCAAGAAUCAGGAAUUCACUCAAAUCUAUCAGAUUUGACUUACCUUUGCUAGAUGACUUCUUGCUCUUUAAUUGGGAAUGGCUGGAAUGCCGAUGCUGGGUCCAUAUGCCUGGGGCCAUGGUUCUCUUCAUGUCAUAUCCUGGGGCUGGAACCUUCAGCAUGGUUUCUGCACUCUUAGGUCUGGUGUCAGCACUAGGAAGGCUGGAAUUGCUGGGGCUGACCAGCAUUUCUCUUUCCAUAAAUAGCAAUCUCAGGGUAGUUGGACUUCUUUUUUCCCAGUACUAGGGGUUGAACCCAGGGCCUCACAUACAAUAGGCAAGUGCUCUACCAGUGAGCUGCAGCCCCAGUCCUUGUUUAAAUUUUAUUUUGAGACAGGGUCUCACCAAGUUGGCCAG
rnacentral:lncRNA from 1 species